rnacentral:lncRNA from 1 species
AACAUUCAAGGAGUUGUGUCAGCACUGGCGAACAUGCUUCGUGUGUCCAUCCCCGGGAACAUUGAGGUGAUUUGCUCUCCAGGCCCAAAGCACCGCAGCUCAAUAGACAUGUUGAGUGGACUUAAGGUACUGCCUCAAACUGCCCUGUUCCAACAACAACCCGGAAUGAGGUUCCACAGACCACCAGGUGCCCCACUAUCACACCAGACCUUCAGGGAGGGUUCAAUUGUGGUCAGACCAGACUAUCAUUUGGGUGGAAGUAGUCUAGGGUCUAAACCCCAGUGGUGCUCCAAUUGCAGGGUGGUGGUUCUUGGAAAUGGCAUUCGGAAGUCCACCAAAGACCUGCCAAUAAAUAAACAGGGCCAUGGAGGAUCUGAGGGGACCCUUGUCUUCUGCAGCCAUAAUUGCUUUUUUCUCUAUUCAGCAGCCAUGCAGACUAAAUUGGUAGAUGGCAAGUCAAACUUGCCUCCAACAUCUGACUCUGAAGACAAGCAGAAUUCUACUAAGGUGCUUCAAUCAAUACAGUAACAAUAUAUCAGAUCUUGAUGUGCACUGUUUGGCCCAGCUCCAACCUAAGCAGUCUCCAAACUUCAAACUCCAAUAAUAUCCUUCCCCUCCAUUACUUCUGAGACACUCAGAGGAGAUAGCAAGUCUGAUACACUAAAGGUCACGGUCAAGCUAAAGCCUCGGCCACGAGCAGUACACAACGGUGGGGAUGACCCUCGGUAUUUAAUAGGAAAGCGCUUUAAGGCUUUACGUUGGA